UGAGUAGUCACAUCUUGGGAUUUUUCAUAU
rnacentral:piRNA from 1 species